GAAUUCUUAAAAAGUAGAUAUUAUGUACAAAAUCUUCUCCUGGUAGAGUUCUUGGGUUAUGAGUGUGUGUGUAUUUACCAAGUCAUGUUCAAGGUUAGUCUCUGAGGUUUGGAAAAGUUGGUGAGGAAGGUAGGUGACCUCUUCAAACUUUACCAAAAUCAUAUUCACAGAGGCGCAAGUGAAUUGGCUAAUCAUUUGGUAUUUUUUGACCAGGAAAAAAAAUAUCUGAACAAAUUGGUUAAAUUCUGUGUUACAGAAGAAGGAGCGCCAUUGGGAAGGUGCUAGUGUUGGGGCCACAAGGAUUUGGUAGGGUAAUCAUGGUCCUGGUCCCCUGCAGCUUUUGCAUCCAUUCUCUCACUCUAGACUUACACAUCCCCGUGAGGCAAAUGUGGCUUGGUCUGUGUCACCCAGGCUCUUAGAAUGGCCCUGUAGUGAAUAUUGUCAAGUUUUGGCUGCCUGGCUUCCAUUCCUCCUCCUGACAGCACCCUGGUUUCCUUCUGGGGAAUUACCCCCUGUCUUGUGAGGCAAUAAAGGUAGGUGUUGAACCGCCCACCACAGACCCCUUUGAAUGGUCCAUGAGGACUCUCUCUUGGCCCUGGCACAGCCAGAGAGCAGCAUGUGACAUAAGCUCAGUCGAUUGGAUUUUCUCUCCCCAAACCCUGAAGCUGAAACAGAAUGAGCAGACUGGGAGGAACGGUUAGAAUCCGUGUAUCCAGUAUGGGGCAGAGAGUUGAGUGGGUCUUAUCUUCACACUCUCUGUAGCUCUCCCACUUCUGAGGGUUACAAAUCUGGUUCUCCAGCCCCCUCAAUCCUGUGAGCACCUCCAUAGCCUUUGUCUCCUUGCCUCCAGAAAUCCGGCACAGUUUUCCAAAUUGCAAGCGUGACCAUAACAAGCUCACACCUGAAAGUCUUCAGUGUCUCUCUCUUGUCUACGGGGAAAGCUCACACUCCUUAUCAUGGCAGACAAGCCUCCUCCUUACCUUGCCAAGAUGUGAGUACAACCUACUCAUUGCUCUCCCAGGUCCUACCCUCUGCCCUCAACUUAUCUGGCAUGUACUUCAUCUUUCUGAACUUAAGGAGAGUCUUUGUGCAAUCUUUCUUGAUCGUCUCCUCCCUGAGAUUGACUGCUCUGUAUGCAAUUCUGUUUUAAUCCACUUAUUUAUAUCACUAUGACCCUAGUAAAUGAAAUUUCCUUGAAGGGG
rnacentral:lncRNA from 1 species